GAAGAGUCCCCUGGACUGCAUUAACAUGAAGAAGGCCGAGAUGAACAAAUCUCCACUCAAGUAGAGACAGAGAAGCAGGAGGAAUAGUUCUCUGAAAAUUAUGGGUUGCUUGUCAGAGUUAAGCCUCUAAUUACAUGUUGAGCUGAUUUAUUGGUACUACAGGCUUAAACAGUUCCUAACUGUUAAGACUGACUAGAGACACAG
rnacentral:lncRNA from 1 species